rnacentral:rRNA from 1 species
UACGUAGGUGGCAAGCGUUGUCCGGAUUUACUGGGCGUAAAGAGCGCGCAGGCGGUCGUUCAAGUCGCGUGUGAAAGCCCCCGGCUCAACUGGGGAGGGUCACGCGAUACUGAUCGACUCGAAGGCAGGAGAGGGUAGUGGAAUUCCCGGUGUAGUGGUGAAAUGCGUAGAUAUCGGGAGGAAUACCGGUGGCGAAGGCGAGUCUCUGGUCCGCUUCUGACGCUCAUGUGCGAAAGCUAGGGGAGCAAACGGG